CCCGGCGUAACGGCUUAGCAGCUGUGCCACCGCUCUUAAGAGCGUCACCGUGGCCAUGAAGGAAGAAAAAGAUCAUAGGCCUAAGGAGAAACGAGUGACCCUGUUAACGCCUCAGGGCGCUACAGGCGGCUGCAUUGGAGCUACCGCAGAAGGCGCCAAAGGGGACGAUAGGCAAGAUCGCAACAGGGACAAGAAAGAAGCUUUGAGCAAGGUCGUAAUUCGAAGAUUACCUCCCACUCUGACCAAGGAGCAGCUUCAGGAACAUCUUCAACCUAUGCCUGAGCAUGAUUAUUUUGAGUUUUUUUCCAAUGAUACUAGUCUUUAUCCUCAUAUGUAUGCCAGAGCAUAUAUCAACUUUAAAAACCAAGAGGACAUUCUUUUAUUCAGGGACCGAUUUGAUGGC
rnacentral:lncRNA from 1 species